rnacentral:rRNA from 1 species
UACGGAGGGUGCAAGCGUUAUCCGGAUUCACUGGGUUUAAAGGGUGCGUAGGUGGGUUGGUAAGUCAGUGGUGAAAUCUCCAGGCUUAACUUGGAAACUGCCAUUGAUACUAUCAGUCUUGAAUACUGUGGAGGUCAGCGGAAUAUGUCAUGUAGCGGUGAAAUGCUUAGAUAUGACAUAGAACACCAAUUGCGAAGGCAGCUGGCUACACAAAUAUUGACACUGAGGCACGAAAGCGUGGGGAUCAAACAGG